rnacentral:rRNA from 1 species
UACGUAGGGUGCGAGCGUUAAUCGGAAUUACUGGGCGUAAAGCGUGCGCAGGCGGUUUUGUAAGUUUUGUCGUGAAAGCCCCGGGCUCAACCUGGGAAUUGCGAUGAAGACUGCAAGGCUUGAAUCUGGCAGAGGGGGGGUAGAAUUCCACGUGUAGCAGUGAAAUGCGUAGAGAUGUGGAGGAACACCGAUGGCGAAGGCAGCCCCCCUGGGUCAAGAUUGACGCUCAUGCACGAAAGCGUGGGGAGCAAACAGG